CCAAACGUUGCAUAAAAAUUAAAAUACUAGUCCCAUUCAAGUUAGGAAGGUUAAAACCGCAAGUCCGAAAGCCCUUCUCCACGACCAUCAACCAUGUCUUCCCUCCACCGUCGUCUCCAUGGCAUAUUCACCAGUACUUCUGUCCGUGCAACAUCCCAGACCAACACCGUCAAAGCCUCGGCCCGAAACGCUCGCACCAAAGAAGGUAAACUCGAACAACUGGUCGAGAAGUUCAAGAAAUCCUCCGCGUCCCACCGCUUCCGCGCCUCGCACGGCAUCUACGAGUCCACUGUUCGCCGCCUUGCUUCUGCCCAGAAAUUCUCCAUGAUAGAAGAAAUCCUCGAAGCCCAGAAGAAGUACCCGGACAUCUCCACUGAGGGAUUUGCAAUCCGUCUGAUCUCCUUGUAUGGUAAAGCGGGCAUGUUUGACCAUGCACACAAGGUGUUCGAAGAAAUGCCUGAGCUGAAUUGUGCGCGUACAGCCAAGUCCUUCAACGCCCUUUUGGCAGCUUGUGUGAACGCCAAGAAAUUCGAUAAAGUUGAUGAGCUUUUCCGGGGACUACCGCAAAAAGUGUCAAUAGAAGUGGAUUUGGUCUCUUAUAAUAUUGUUAUCAAUGCAUUUUGUGAGAUGGGUUCGUUGGAUACUGCACUUUUGAUACUUGAUGAGUUGGAGAAGAAUGGGUUGGAGCCUGAUUCGGUAACAUUCAAUACGCUUCUCAAUGGGUUUUAUAACAAUGGUCGGUUUUUGGACGGAGAGAAGAUAUGGUCUAUGAUGGAGAGCAAGAAUGUUAUUCCUGAUAUUAGAAGUUAUAAUUCAAGGUUGCGCGGUAUGGUUCAUGACAAAAGAAUAUCAGAAGCAGUUAAUUUGUUUGAUGAAAUGCGGAGCAAAGGAAUUAACCCGGAUGUGAUUAGUUAUAAUGCUUUGAUUAAAGGGUUCUGUAAUGAUGGGAAGUCGGAGGAAGCGAAAUGGUGGUAUAGGGAGCUAAGAGAAAAUGAAUGUAGUCCUGAUUGGGUCACUUAUGUGACCCUUAUUCCACUUCUUUGCGAAGAGGGUGAUUUCGAUAUGGCUCUUGAGCUCUGUGCAGAGGUUAUCAAUCAACGGUUUACUAUUGACACAGGGUUAGUGCAGCGUGUGGUGGAUGGGUUAGUCAAGGAGGCAAAGAUUGAGAAAGCUAAGGAGCUUGUAGAACUGGGAAAGUCAAAAAAGUUUUUCCAUUACAAACUAAAAUUGCCUCUGGACAAGUAGUAUCACGCAGCAAGCUACCUUCAUCUGGUGACAUUCCCAUCAAACUUUUCUCCCACAAAAUCCAGUCAUACCCAUCGUAAUUCAAGGAUUAACAGGUGGUCGCUCGAGUUGAGAUACUCAGCGGUUAUUGGAGUGAAUUCUCAUAUUUUUGUUAGAAUUUAGAGGUUUCAGCAUUUAUGUCAUUAUAUUAGUUGUUUGAUCUGUUUGAGAAUAAGACUUGGAGCUGAUAGUUUCUAAGUAUAUUGGACACAAGAGUAAUAUUAGAUAUUAUAUUUUUAUCUCAUAACUAUCCCACAAUAUUUACAUGACAAUUCCGACCCACCCUUUAAUAUAUAUAUUUUUUAAGACUACUACGUUAGAAUUAUAGAAUAGUUGUAGUGAUAAAAAUGUUGUUUCUGGCAUUACAUUGUACCCAAAUUAUGCUAUUGGGGAAUAUAUCUUAGACACAAUUGGCAUUUUUUAUUUAUUGUGUUUGACA